AAAUAAUCGGAGCAUUUUCAUUUCGCUAUGAUGAUCGCUGUAAUUGGCAGAAUCACAGUCGCGCUGGGGCUCGAGGCUCCCGGAGGCCGGGGGGUAGGCACGGCGCGGACGCACCCUAGGAUCGCCGCCAGAGGGCGCCAGCGCGCUCCUUCGCGUCUGCUGCUGCCCUGAUGAAAACGCUCACAGCGCACGCGGUACAGACGGAGCAAAUCCUAUGAACUUCUCCAGCCCAGUUUAGAACAAGGGAAAGGGGAGCGCGCGGUACCGGCUGUCCACUCCGCGGUCCUCCUGGCUCAAGUCACCCUGAGUCUUCCCCCAGCUGACAAAGGCGAUCGGACGCACAGCCAGGACCCAGAACCGUGGAUGGAUCCACUUUGCCAAUAUAUUGAAAAAACUGAUGCCAUGUUGAGAGAAGAGAGAAAUCUAUUUUUGUAAGAAAUGUUACUUUACACAUACUUUGCUGAUUUUUUAUCUCAAAAAACCCAAGACCUGGUGUAGUGUCCAGUAACUCAGUUGCCUGGAGCCCUAUGCAAUGAGACUGAAUUUCCAUGGGGCCCGGUUAGUAGCUUUAAAUCAUUUUCAGGCAAGGCGUACACACACACACACACACACACACACACACACACACACACACACACACGUAUAUACACAGAGAGAGAGAGAGCUCACCUGGUACUUCUCUUUCGUUUCAUGGUGACACAUUACAGUGCACACAACUUGACCAGCUUACAGGUGCUAGAAAUGGAAGUCUGAGGCUGACAACUCAAGGGUGUGUGUGUCAGGGGCAACAGCUCCGUAGAUGGGUAUUAUUAACUAUAAUUACACCAACCCAGCCUCUUUUGAAAAUUGAUCAGAGAUGCUUUUUCUUGUCUUGAUGAGUAGGUCGGAGUAAUUAUCAUUUGCACUGGGAAAUAAUACCAUUGGUUCUAGGGCUGAUGUCUGCAAAGCUGGCUUCACUGUUUCUUGGACUUGUCUUUCAUCACAUACCUCAAGUCUCUCUGAGAAAGAAACUAAUUCACUAUUGUUUCUCCGCUGUGGGAGAGGAAGGCUGUGGUGAAAAACAGUUAAAAAAAAAAAAAAAAAAAAAAAAGCCAGGCGCAGUGGCUCAAGCCUGUAAUCCCAGCACUUUGGGAGGCCAAGAAGGGCCGAUCACUUGAGGUUGUGAGUUCAAAGCCAGCCUCACCAACAUGGUGAAACCCUGUCUCUACUAAAAAUACAAAAAUGUAUUUGUACAUGGUGGCACAUGCCUGUAGUCGCAGCCACUCGGGAGGCUGAGACAGGAGAAUUGCUUGAAGCUGGGAGGCUGAUGUUGCAGUGAGCCAAGAUCGCACCACUGCACUCCAGACUGGGCGACAGGGCAAAACUCCCUCUCCAAAUAAAAAAGCUCUAAGUAAUCAAAUAACCAAGUAAUUAAUUACCCAAAGUCAGUCAGCAAAUGAGUCAGAAUUCAAGCCACAAUAGCUAUUAUUCACACUAGUCACUCCUAAAUUUUUUUAUUUAGUGACAGUGUUUAAAUUGAGCUAAGAAUGUCUAACAGUAUCUGAGUAGCUAAAGAUUUGGAAAGUCUUGUCUUCUGCCAUCCAACAUUUGGUAAAGACAUGGUUAUUUUAGCCAGCAUCCUUUUUUUUUUUUUUUUUUUUUUUGUAUUGUUUUGUUGGAGAGAGUUUCACUCUUGUCGCCCAGGCUGGAGUGCAAUGGCUCACUGCAACCUCCAACUCCCAGGUUCAAACAGUUCUCCUGCCUCAGCUUCCCAAGUAACUGGGAUUACAGGCAUGUACCACCACGCCCAGCUAAUUUUUGUAUUAUUAGUAGAGACGGGGUUUCACCAUGUUGGACAGGCUGGUCUCAAACUCCUGACGUCAGGUGAUCCGCCCACUUUAGCCUCCCAAAGUGCUGGGAUUAAAGGCAUGAGCCACUGUGCCUGGCCUCUUUUUCUGAAUAUAAGUGAAUUUUAAAAAUCUGUCACCUGUGAAAGUAGACUAAAUUCCAAGUCGUCAAAGUUCUGAAUAAGCUGCCUACCUGGACUGCUGAUCUGUAGUUCAUCUAGCUCAAGGGAAAGCUAAGAAACAAAACAAUCCUGUCUUUUAAAAAGGUUUGGGAAAAGCAGGGUAUAGACGGGGCCACAGAGCACCCUUAAAUGUUGAACUAUAAUGACACCUAAGUCAUCCCUGUAUUUGGCAAGUUUCCAUGAAAGGGUGGUUCAAAAUGACUCUUAAUUAUGUUUUUGGGUUUUUUCUAAAAGGCCAUCUCAGAAUUUUUUUUUUUUUUUUUUUUAGUUUGAAAGCAGCCUGUCCAACAUGGUGAAACCUCAUCUCUACUAAAAACACACAAAAAAUUAACCAGGCAUGGAGGUGCACACCUGUAAUCCCAGCUACUCGGGAGGCUGAAGCAGGAGAAUCGCUUGAACCCGGGAGGAGGAGGCUGCAGUGAGCCAAGGUUGUGCCACUGCACUCCAGCCUGGGCGACAGAGCAGACUGUCUCAAAAAAACAAAACAAAAACCUUUAUGAAUGCUCUUCAAUGGCUGCCAGGUUUGCUUUUUUUUGGCAUUUUGUUGUUAGGUUAGGAGGCUAUCAAGAAAUAUGCAGAAAGCUAAAUAGAUCCCUUCCCUUCUCCUGUUCUCAAACUUACACUAUUUCUAAUAACCAAGUGAGUUAAGUGGGUUUUAAAAUAGAUUACUCCUCACAAUGUUUCUUUCCUUCCACUUACCUGGCAUGUGUAAUCCCAAAGAAUCUUUUAAAUUUUGUGGUGAAAAAUCCCAUUUCUGUUCAUUUGGAUUUCCAUUCAUUAUUUACUAGGCAUUUAACUAUGCUCUAUGCUGGGGAAUCCGAUGGUCAGUAAGACAUGCCUUGGGAGCUGUCUGGUAGGAAAGAUGGACAAGUCACCAGGAAGUGACAGUAGACAUUGGUAAAUGCCAUAGGAAUAUCCCAGGAAUGGAGAUACCAGCAUCAUCAACAUGGGGCACAGAACCCUGGACCUGGGCCGGCUACAUUAAGACUCUCUCAAUGAGAUGGUAAAAUCAGGGACUAUUUUGUUCAUCCAGCUAUCUGGGGUGGUAAGCACAGUUGCCCAAGGCAUAGGGAGCCCCGCAGGAGGACAGCUGAAGAGGAAGGCACAUUUGGGGGAAGGAUGGCACAUGAGGUGAGAUCGGAGUUAAUCAGGCCAGAUUAUGAGGGCCUCGGAUGCCAUACGAGGGACAUGAUGUUUCAGAUCAAUUCCUCAGGCAGCUGUGUGGAUUGGCGAUGGGACCUGCAAUAACUCUGGGUUACCUAAAAUAGUGGCAGUGAGGCUGGAAAGAAGUGGGACAGGAGGAAGUCAUCAGCUACAGGUGGCUGCUGAAAGCAGAGAGGGAGAAAUCACCCAGGAAGAAUGGAGACACCAGGGGAAGCUUCUAGAUAAAACAGCAUCUCUUGGCUGAGCUAAAAGAGGAGCAAAUUUGUCUUUUCUCUUUAUGAGACAGGGUCUCACUCUGUUGCCCAGGCUAGAGUAUAGCAGUGCCAUCACGCCUCACUGCAGCCUCGAAGUCCUGGGCCCAAGCGAUCCUCCCACCUCAGCCUCGUGAGUAGCUAUGACUACAGGUGUGCUCUACAUCCAGCCAAUUUUUUCACAUUUUUGUUGAGACGGGGUCUUCUGACCAGGCAGGGUGGCUCACGCCUGUAAUCCCAACACUUUAAAAGGCCGAGGAGGGUGGAUUACUUGAGGCCAGGAGUUCGAGACCAGCCUGGCCAACAUGGCGAAACCCGUCUCUAUGAAAAAUGCAAAAAUUAGCUGGGUGUGGUGGCGCAUGCCUGUAACCACAGCUGCUUGGGAGGCUGAGGCAUGAGAAUUGCUUGAACCUGAGAGGCAUUCCAGCCUGGGCAAUAGAGACUAACAAAACAGACAAGUUCUGGAACUCCUAGCCUCAGGUGAUCCUCCCACCCCUUGGCCUACCCAAAGUGCUGGGAUUACAGGUGAGCAUGGCACCUGGCUUAAGGAGUUCUGGCAGAGGCCCUACUCCCUGCCCUGCAUCCUGUCUCCCAUGGCCUCUGGCUCUAGCCCAAGCUUGUCCAACCUGUGGUCCAGGGCAGCUUUGAAUGUGGCCCAACACAAACUUAUAAGCUUUCUUAAAACACCAUGAUUUUUUUUUUUUUUUUUUUUUAGCUCAUCAGCUAUUGUUAGUGUUAGUGUAUUUUAUGUGUGGCUGAAGACAAUUUUCUUCUUCCAGUGUGGCCCAGGGAAACCAAAAGAUUGGACACACCUGCUCUAGCCAACGUUCAUUCCAGCCCUCCUGUGUCAAUCUGCUCUUCAACUCAGCCUUUCAACACACUCAGGUCCUGCUUAUCUGGGCAGUUUGUGGCAGGAGCUGUGGAGGCUAGGGCAUACCCCCUUCCACCCUCUCCAAAGCAUUACUUUUACUAUUAAUAUAAUAACUUUGGAGGUGGCAAAGAGAAAUUUAUGUUAGAGCAAAACUACAAAAACUCUCAUAGAUCUGAUACUGAUGACUUGUACACUUCAGAUCAUUAUCAGUGAUGUAGAAUACAACGUAUUCUCAGCUAGCACGUUCUGCUACCAAUUAGCUGCUUUUUACAGUGCUAACGUACACAUUCUGUCACCUUAACACAGCUGGUUUCUCUAACAAGCCUUCAUGUUUCGCACGUCAGCACCACCACCACUGGGCUCCUCUCACGAACCUGUUGUAACGGGCCUCCCAGGUGACUGCUAUCUCCUGACGCUGGGCCCACCACCACCUGGAAGCCCUCAGGCGCUGACACUACCACAGGGAUUUUCUUCACCUGGAAUCUGAAGCAAAUGUGCAUUCUUCUGGCAGGGAAGCCUGCGGCCCUAGACAUCCUCAAAGACGUUAACAACAAAAAACCCACAGCUUUAGACUCAAUAAAUUCAGCAGAGUUCACUUCUCCAAACAUACGCCAAGCCAAAGUUUUCUCCAAGCCCUUUAAUAUUCACUUAAACAGUUGAGGCACAAGCAAUAAUAAAACUGCAUUUUUU
rnacentral:lncRNA from 10 species